rnacentral:rRNA from 1 species
AUUGAACGCUGGCGGCAGGCCUAACACAUGCAAGUCGAGCGAGCGGCGGACGGGUGAGUAAUGUAUGGGAAUCUGCCUGAUGGAGGGGGAUAACUACUGGAAACGGUAGCUAAUACCGCAUACCAUCAGAUGAACCCAUAUGGGAUUAGCUUGUAGGUGGGGUAACGGCUCACCUAGGCGACGAUCCCUAGCUGGUCUGAGAGGAUGACCGCCCACACGGGAACGUGGAAACGCACCAGACUCCUACGGGAGGCAGCAGUGGGUAAUAUUGCAGAAGGGGCGCAAGCCUGAUGCAGCCAUGCGGGGUGUAUGAAGAAGGCCUUCGGGUUGUAAAGUACUUUCAGGCGGGAGGCGUUACCGACAGAAGAAGCACCGGCUAACUCCGUGCCAGCAGCCGCGGUAAUAC